rnacentral:rRNA from 1 species
GCACCCUGAUCCAGCAUGCCGCGUGUGUGAAAAGGCCUUCGGGUUGUAAAGCACUUUUGUCCGGAAAGAAAACCUCUUGGUUAAUACCUGAGGGGGAUGACGGUACCGGAAGAAUAAGCACCGGCUAACUACGUGCCAGCAGCCGCGGUAAUACGUAGGGUGCGAGCGUUAAUCGGAAUUACUGGGCGUAAAGCGUGCGCAGGCGGUCUGUUAAGACCGAUGUGAAAUCCCCGGGCUUAACCUGGGAACUGCAUUGGUGACUGGCAGGCUUUAAGGGUGGCAAAGGGAGGUAAAAUUCCACGUGUACCAGUGAAAUGCGUAAAAAUGUGGAGGAAUACCAAUGGCAAAGGCACCCUCCUGGGCCAACACUGACGCUCAUGCACAAAAGCGUGGGGAGCAAACA